GACGAACGCUAGCGGCGUGCUUAACACAUGCAAGUCGAACGGAAAGGCCCUGCUUUUGUGGGGUGCUCGAGUGGCGAACGGGUGAGUAACACGUGAGUAACCUGCCCUUGACUUUGGGAUAACUUCAGGAAACUGGGGCUAAUACCGGAUAGGAGCUCCUGCUGCAUGGUGGGGGUUGGAAAGUUUCGGCGGUUGGGGAUGGACUCGCGGCUUAUCAGCUUGUUGGUGGGGUAGUGGCUUACCAAGGCUUUGACGGGUAGCCGGCCUGAGAGGGUGACCGGCCACAUUGGGCCUGAGAUACGGACCAGACUCCUACGGGAGGCAGCAGUGGGGAAUAUUGCACAAUGGGCGGAAGCCUGAUGCAGCAACGCCGCGUGCGGGAUGACGGCCUUCGGGUUGUAAACCGCUUUCGCCUGUGACGAAGCGUGAGUGACGGUAAUGGGUAAAGAAGCACCGGCUAACUACGUG
rnacentral:rRNA from 1 species